AUCCAACUGACGAGUCCGAAAUAGGACGAAGCGCGGGUCCUCGAU
rnacentral:hammerhead_ribozyme from 1 species